AUUGAACGCUGGCGGCAGGCCUAACACAUGCAAGUCGAACGAGUGGCGGACGGGUGAGUCAUGUCUGGGACCCUGCCUGAUGGAGGGGGAUCACUACUGGAAACGGUAGCUAAUCCCGCAUACCAUCAGAUGUGCCCAGAUGGGAUUAGCUUGUUGGUGGGGUAACGGCUCACAAAGGCGACGACCCCUAGCUGGUCUGAGAGGAUGACCAGCCAAACUGGAACUGAGACACGGUCCAGACUCCUACGGGAGGCAGCAGUGGGGAAUAUUGCACAAUGGGCGCAAGCCUGAUGCAGAAAGGCCGCGUGUAUGAAGAAGGCCUUCGGGUUGUAAAGUACUUUCAGCGGGGAGGCGUUACCCGCAGAAGAAGCACCGGCUAACUCCGUGCCAGCAGCCGCGGUAAUUC
rnacentral:rRNA from 1 species